AUGAUUUCAGAACUAGUUGCAAAAUCUCAAUAACUCAAAAGAAAUAUGAAUUACAAUUUUCUGGAUUGUUUGGUGGCUAACAACAAAAACCUAAUAAAAAUAAAACUCGAUCCCUUGGGAAAUCCAAAUGAGACCUAUUUAUAACAAUGUUUGGGAAAACCUUAAAACAUAAAACGACAACGUAAAAGCGGUUUAAAAGUUGUAAUGGUCAUGUCGGUCGAGUGAGCGUGUCGAGUAACACUUAAUUUCUUCUCUGCAUCAUUUCAUACUCGACCGUGUUCCUCGAGUGAUUGUGUCGAGUGACCUGUGAAACCAUCAGCUACUUCUUUGCUUUGCUCGAUCAUGUCACUCGAGUGAGUGCAUCGAGUGACAGGUGGUUCUGCUUCGCUUCCCUUCUGCUCGAUCAGCUACUCGAUCGUAUACGUUUGCUGCUCACCGAUCGUCCUACUCGGUCGUGUCAAUCGAGUGAAAUAUGUUCCUGCAACGCAUCCUUGCUUCUCACUCGAUCGUCCCACUCGAUCAUGUGCAUGUCGAGUAACGCUUGUUCCUCUGCUUC
rnacentral:lncRNA from 1 species